ensembl:lncRNA CIBAR1P2 CIBAR1 pseudogene 2
AGAAUCAUGAUGUGAGGGCGGCUCGCACCCCAGCGCGCACCCAGGCACCUUAGAGUCCCCGGCUUUGGCUCCCCUGGGUCCCCUGGUUGUGCGCCAGGCAAGAUGUUGAGAUGCACACUGGAAAACCGGAACGCUCAAACCAAGCAACUGCAAGCAGCUGUCUCAAAUAUGGAGAAGCAUUUGGGAGAACUGUGCCAAGUCUUUGCUGCCUAUGUGCGGAAAACUGCCAGACUGCGAGACAAAGUGGACCGAGGAUGAAUGAAAUCAACUCAUAUGCCGCUACAGAGGCCCCACAUCUAAGGCUGGGCCUGAUGAACUUUGCUGAUGAGUUUGCCAAACUUCAGGAUUAUUGACAAGCAGAGGUUGAAAGACUUGAAGCCAAAGUAGUUGAACCCUGGAAAGCUUAUGUAACCAUUGUAAAAAUGAAACGGGAUGACCCCAAAGCAACAUUCACAGCAAGGAAUCGAGAAGCUAAGCAAUUAACUCAGGUAGAAGGAACAGGUCAGCGAAACCCACCUCAUCUGAUCGACAUGUUAUUGUAUCCUUUGAAUUUCGACCUUUAAAAAAAACGUUUUUUAGGCCAGGCAUGGUGGCUCACGCCUGUAAUCCCAGCACUUUGGGAGGCUGAGGCGGGCAGAUCACGAGGUCAGAAGUUCGAGACCAGUCUGGCCAACAUAGUGAAAUCCCAUCUCUACUAAAAAUACAAAAAAAAAAAAAAAAAAAAAUUAGCCAGGCGUGGUGGUGGGCGCCUGUAAUCCCAGCUAAUCAGGAGGCUGAGGCAGGAGAAUGGUGUGAAUCCAGUGGUGGAGGUUGCAGUGAGCCAAGAUCACGCCAUUACACUCCAGCCUGGCUGACAGUGCAAGACUCUGUCUCAAAAAAAAAAAAAUGUUUUUUUAAGGUUGUUACUGCCCAGCUCAGCCAGAAACCACAUGAGGAGUGGCUCUUUGAGAGCCUGAGGGGCUCAUUCCUGAAGGGAGUCCCUGGAGCAGGGGUUUGGGGCUGCGCCAAUUGCUUGGUCCUUCUUCCUUUGGACCAAAGGCAGACACAGAAUUACAAAGAGCUGCAAUGGAUGCAACCCGAACAAGUCAUCAUCUGGAGGAAACUAUUGACAACUUUGAAAGGCAGAAAAUAAAGGCUAUAAAGACUAUAUUUUCCAAAUUUAUCACAAUCAAAAUGUUAUUUCACAGCAAAGCUUUAGAGGUCUACACAGCUGCCUACCAGAAUAUACAAAAGAUUGAUAAGCAUGAAGAUUUAGAUUUACAUGUUUUCCUAAAUUCCCUGUAUGCACCAGAUUAUUCAUCUCGUUUAGAUAUGGUAAGAGCAAAUUCAAAGUCACCUCACCAGAGAUCAUGUCAGCUAAGUGUGUAUCUGGAACAGGACAGGUAUCCACUACCAACUAAGAAAGGAUCAGCAAGCAGAUGAUAAUGAGGAUGAAGAGUCAGAUGUUACAGAAGAAGACAAUUUUCUCAAGUAAACUACACAUUUCCAUUUUCAUCAUAAAUGACAUGAAAUCCACAAUGACUAAAUUGUAGAACUUUAUACUCACUUUGAUAUGGUAAGCCUCAAAAUGAAAUUCAACUAGAAAUGGAAAAAUAAUUAAAGGAAACUUACGCUGACCAAAAAUGAAGGCUUUAAAAAAUAUUACACACCAGUCAUUUCAACAUCCAAAAAAAAAAAAAUGACUUGAGCGUAGCAAUUUGUUCUCUACUACAGGUGAGGGAAAGAAACCCUUGACCCUGAAAAGAAGUGUUUUGCUUAAUAUAUUAUCAGAACUGGGAAGAGGGUUGUCUCUUUUCUCCUCCUCCUCUUCGUUUUUAAAUUAACACCCCUUGUUUCCAAAAAUCUAUUCUAUUAGCUUCAAAUUGCCUUUUUGUUUCAUUCUACUUUUCAUUUAGAUUGCCUUCUUUUGUUCUCAUUUCUUUCUCUAUUUCUUGUAAAUUUUCAUCUCUUCUUUGCUAUUGUCCGUUUCUUUGAACCCUUCAUAUAUUUAUUGUCUAACCAUGUAAAAUGUGGUAUGAACAAUAGUCAUCUUAUUCCCUUUCACUUAAUUUUUUGGUAUCAUUUAUUUUCUGUCCUUUCAUCAGUGUCUCAUUUUAUGAAUUUUCUACAUUAUCACUUCCUCCAUUAUUUCAAUUAUUUUUUCAUUUAACAUCCAGGUGAUCCAAAAACAAACAAACAAACAAAAAAACAAGUUCAGAGAAUUAUAUUACAAACACCUGUGGGCCCACUAUUCGGCUUUAUCUGAAAUUUUGCCAAAUUUGUUUCAGGUUUUUGUUUUCUUGGGAAAUAAAAAAUAGGUUAAGAAAGUCCUCUUCUACUCCUGUUUUGGUAAAAACAAAAUGUUAUCAUGAAGUGAUGUUGAAUUUUAUCAAGAGCUAUUUCUGUAUUUCCCAUGAUGCUCCCAUUUUUUCUCAAUUUGUUGGUAUGACAAAAUAAACAAAAUUUUCUGAUUUUA